rnacentral:rRNA from 1 species
AUACUACUUUCAGCAAUGGAUCUCUUGGCUCUCGCAUCGAUGAAGAACGCAGCGUAUUGCGAUAAGUNAUGUGAAUUGCAUGAUUUUCAGUGCAUCAUCGAAUCUUUGGACGCACCUUGCGCUCCUUGGUAUUCCGAGGAGCAUGCCUGUUUGAGUGUCAGUC